rnacentral:tRNA from 1 species
GGAAAAGUUGCUAUUGGCAGGGCAAGAUAUUUGCUAAAUAUCGUGUAUUUAACACAUGGAUGUUCAAAUCAUCUCUUUUCCG